GGGAUAAUAGUUAAAUAUAACAUUUAAUUUGCAUUUAAAAAGUAUUGAUCUAUAAUCAAUUUAUCUUA
rnacentral:tRNA from 1 species